rnacentral:rRNA from 1 species
AUAACGACUCUCGGCAACGGAUAUCUCGGCUCUCGCAUCGAUGAAGAACGUAGCGAAAUGCGAUACUUGGUGUGAAUUGCAGAAUCCCGUGAACCAUCAAGUCUUUGAACGCAAGUUGCGCCCGAGGCCAUUAGGUCGAGGGCACGCCUGCCUGGGCGUCUCGCA